rnacentral:rRNA from 1 species
UACGAAGGGGGCUAGGCGUUGCUCGGAAUCACUGGGCGUAAAGCGCACGUAGGCGGAUCUUUAAGUCAGGGGUGAAAUCCCAAGGCUCAACCUUGGGAACUGCCUUUGAUACUGGGGAUCUCGAGUCCGGAAGAGGUGAGUGGAACUGCGAGUGUAGAGGUGAAAUUCGUAGAUAUUCGCAAGAACACCAGUGGCGAAGGCGGCUCACUGGUCCGGUACUGACGCUGAGGUGCGAAAGCGUGGGGAGCAAACAGG